UUACCACUCUUAACACUGGUACAUGCCACUCGUAACACUGGUACAUGCCACUCGUAACACUGGCACAUGCGACUCUUAACACUCUUAACACUGAUACAUGCCACUCGUAACACUGAUACAUUCCACUCUUAACACUGGCACAUUCCACUCUUAACACUGGCACAUGCCACCCUUAACACUGGUACAUGCCACUCUUAACACUGGUGCAUGCCACUCUUAACACUGGUACAUUCCACCCUUAACACUGGCACAUGCCACUCUUAACACUGGCACAUGCCACUCUUUACACUGGUAAAGCAUUGGAACUCACGUACCAUGCUGUGAAUGGAUCGGGUCCAGCUUACAUCCAGGACAUGGUCCAACCCGACAUCCCGACCCGCACUCUCCGCUCUGCAUCUGAUAAACUGCUUGUUCCUCCUCACUGAGAGCAAAAACACUCGACUAGAUCACGAGGUGAAAACACCUCUUCAGACUCCACCUCGACUAAAAGACUAACAAACUGUAGCACUUAAAUUGUACUUGUAACGUCACUCAUCUAUAGCAAAUUGUAAAUUGGCUUAUUUUUUCUUCUGAGUUUGUACCCUUAUGGUUGAAUGCACUUAUUGUAAGUCGCUUUGAAUAAAAGCGUUAGUAAUAUAAUGUAAUGUAACAAUAGAUCAACACAUGACAAAAGAGAUCAGAUGCAGAUCAGAAGGUGGUUAGUCAUUUUCUAAGAUCUGUGGGCAUCAUAUAUAUUAAAUACUAUGACGUUAAUCGCAAAUUAUGUCAUGUUUUGUGAUGUUAGUACAUUUAACUGCACAAGGACCACUACACUGAUUGUCUUGUUACUCAAACAUCAAGAGGCCAACAAACGGCAGGUGUGUGUGUGGAAUGUAACACUAUCCAUUAAAAUAUGAACUGUUUAACUGUUGUUACCGCAAACAACCUCCUCUUACUCUCUGAAACCAUUAUAACGCUUAUGCUGUGUGAUGUAAUAAAACAGCCCUGAAUUAAAUGUUCUCCUCAGUAACGUUUACAUGUUUUUGUCACGCCCUAAUUGUGUUCACCUGUUUUUCCCCUGUCUCCCCCACACCAGGUGUUCCCUGUUUGUCAAUUAUCCCUUGGGCAUAUAACCUGUGUCUUCUCCCUGUUCUUGUUGCCCGCCUCUAACAACGACGCUGCCUGCCACUUCUGAACCCCUGAUCUCCCGUGUACCGAACUCCUGCCUGCCUCCGACAACGACACUGCCUGCCCGAAUUCCUCUUCAUUAAAAGACAUUUAAUAUUCCUCACAUCUGCGUUUGGGUCUCUGUCUGAGUUGUGACAGUACGAACUGGCCAUGACAGACCCUGCAGAACCUGACUCCCUCCGGAAUGCCGUCGCUCUUCAGGGAGCUGCUAUAGGAAGGCACGAAGACAUCCUACAACGGGUCAUGGAGGGACUUCAAAGUCUCUCUGACCACCACGAUCGGACCUAUCAAUCCCUGAUGGAGCGGUUUCGUGGGAUGUCUAUGGCACAGCCAACUACAGCGGGCCCUGCCCCAGACCAAGGUGGCCUCGCAGCUAGUGCGGCCUUGCCGGUAACCAACACGGCCCCUCGGGAAACCAACUUACCUCCUCCUGAGCGCUAUUCUGGAGAACCAAGAACCUGUCGUUCGUUCCUCUCCAAGUGUUCCCUGAUCUUCGAUCCUCGUUUCAAUCAGAGCGUUCCAAGGUAGCGUACAUCGUUUCACUUAUGUCCGGGAGGGCAGGAACUUGGGCUACGGCAGUGUGGGAACAGCAAACACCCAUCUGCUCCAGUCUGGCUGCCUUUGUGGCCGAAAUAAAAAAGGUUUUUGAGUCACCGGUGUCGGGGAGGGAAGCAGCCCGUAAACUCCUGCGACUCCGGCAGGGCUCUCACUGCGUGUCAGACUACGCGGUGGACUUCUGCACUCUGGCUGCAGAUAGUUUGUGGAAUUCAGAUUCUCUCUUCGAUGCUUUUCUUCAUGGGCUGUCCGACAUUAUCUAGGAUGAGCUAGCAGCACAAGAGCUGCCCCCUGAUCUUGGCUCAGGGGGCAGCUCUUGUGCUGAGGGGGGCCUGCAGAGGGGGGCCUGAAGAACAGGCAGCAAUGUCAGAGUACAUACUACAACAGAUCAGCUAGAGACUUGGACACACUUGCCACGGGUGACUGUGUGAGGAUACAACCACUCCCACCCCACGCUGUCUGGAGACUAGGCAGGGUGCUGAAGCCAGUUGAUGGGAGGUCCUAUGAGGUUCAGUUGCAAUCUGGAAGUGUCAUUAGGAGAAAUCGCAGACACCUCAAGCGUGCACCUGGUGUGACCUUUAGUGACCCUCUCGAUAUGGAGAUCAGCAUCCCCAGUCAGCCACAGGCUGUGAGAUAUGAACCUGCAGAGUCUGUUCCUGUCCCUCACGGUGUCGCAGCAGAACAUACACUGGUGGCGGAGACACCCCUGUCACGACCAGAGCCGGGCGCACAGUGGUGUGGCCACAGCGGCACGUGAAAAGUGUACAAGCGCAAAAGUUAUGGUUUAUUUGAUAUUGUUGUGAUCAUUUGCACAUUUCAUGUUAUUAGUGAAUGGUUGAGUGUUAUCUCACUGUGAAAUUGGUGAUGCUGUGUUUUCAGUUUGUUAUAGACUAUUUUCAUCAGUUGCUGAGAGAAGAUUUUGAUUGAUAGCAUAUUGAAUUGUUUAUGAUUUAGCAAUAAGCAGUGUCAGUAUUAUAAUCUUGCUUGUUGGCCACAGUCAAAUCUUGAGAUAACAGCUCUAACUCUCAAAAGAGAAAGGAUGUAACAAUAGGAACUCAACAGUCAUAUAAUGACUGUUGCCUGCUAUGCGGUUAUCAAUGAAUGCUAAAGUGCAUUUGUCAAAGGAUUAUUUGGUAUCUGGCUACAUUGCCUUUGUUAUUUCCCUUUUUAGUUUUCACGGUGUUGGUGCUAUGCACACUCGUCUGAAUUAAAGUAAACCCGUCUGGAAACACUCCCAAGCCUGUUUAUUCCAAGUUGAAGGGAUGCUACACAUGCCUUCUCCAUGGUGGGGAAAAUACAUUUGCCACCAGGAAGGUCCUCACAACGUUAAACUGGCCUUUUCUUGCAUUGUCCCAAAAAAUGAAAAAUCCUUCCAUGGGGAAAAAAGCGAAGAAACCAUAGGGAGAACAUCAGAGGAGGAUCCCAGGUGUACGGCCGGACCACUGCAGCGCCACCAUCACAUAGAACCGGCAUCCACAGAAGCCUGUGGGGAGGGAAAACAAAGACUUUAGUAAAUACUCAAAGUUAGCGAUGCGGAUUAAUGUUUACAGCAAUAGAAAUGGGAAUAUCAAUGGUGUUUGAAGCGGUAGGUGUCCGCGGGGCCAGGCAGGUGUCAGGACCAGGGUCCAGAUGGAUCUACGAUCUACGGAAACCUGCGGGACGAAAAAGCACAACAAACUCCGGGAAAGAAGCUGAAUUAGUGAAUUGCAUUAAUAAAACAUGGAUUAUUGUAGAAGGAGAGAAUGAGAGAGGAGCUCGGUGUGUCCUAAAAGUCCCUCGGCAGUCUAAGCCUAUAGCAGCUUAACUAAGGGCUAACCUGAGCCAGCCCUAACUAUAAGCAAUAUCAAAGAGGAAAGUUUUAAGCUUUAGCUGACCGAAUCUGCCCCCUGACUGAAAGUGGAUGCUGGUUCCACAAAAGAGGAGCUUGAUAACUGAAGACUCUGGCUCCCGUCCUACUUUUUAAAACCACAGGAACAACAAGUAACCCAGCAUCUAUGGAGUGCGGCUGCCUUGUACGGCAAUACUGUGUUACAAGCUCUUUGAGAUAAGAUGGUGCCUGUUAAGGGUUCGUUGGGCCCUCGAUGGAGGCCUCACUCCUUUGUUCUCGUCCCGGCCGGAAACGAUGAAUCAAAAGAGUCAACUUGCUCAAAUUUAAAAAUCAAAAAGUAUUUAAUAACUAAACAAAGUGAUAAGGCACACAGUUACAAAGUGAAAUACAACGCGAACAGUGAAAUAUUUCGCGAAAUAGAGAAUUCUCGGACCAAGUCUAAAGUGACUUAUCAAAGCGGCUGGAUGGUUCCCCGUUUCCCCCUCCUGAGGUGCCGGAUGGUCUUCCAGAAGCACUUUGGUGCCGACCGAAAGUCCUUCUCCAUAGUCCCCCGAACUCCUCCCAUUCUCGCUGCUUUGCCUCCAUCGCGGCAGAGGCUGCUGCCCUUCGAGCCUGUCGGUACACUGCAACUGCCUCCGGAGUCCCACCGGAUAUCAUAACCCGGAAGGCCUCCUUUUUCAGUCGGACGGCUUCCCUGACCACCGGUGUCCACCAUGGGGUUCGAGGAUUACCGCCCCUUGAUGCACCUAAGACCUUGAGGCCACAACUCACUGCUGCGGCUUCAGCAAUGGAGGUUUUGAAUAUACACCACUCUGGUUCAAUGUCCCCUACCUCCACAGGAAUGUGAGAGAAGUUCCGCCGGAGGUGUGAGUUGAAAAUCUUUUGGACCGGGGCCUCCUCCAGACGUUCCCAGUUCACCCUUACUACAUGCUUGGGUUUACCGGUCUGUCCCGAGUCUACUAGCAGUCUAGAUAACCUAAAAACAGCAGAUACAAUAGUAAUUUAGCAGUAAUCCAAGUCCCCAAGUCCAAAUGCACUUUUUUUGGACAUACUGUACUUUAAGACCGCAGCACUGCAGCAUUAUAUCUGCUUCUACCGUCUCCUCUAGAUGGAGACCGACAAGCUGCCAGCUGCUGUCUGCAGGCCGACGAGGCGGAUGAAUGAGGCCUGUGGUGAGCUGGUUGUUAGCGGAGGACAAGGCUGUAGGAUAAACUAUCUGACAGCUUGUCUCCUCUCUCCACGCUGAGACGUCAGCCUCCAUCUGCUGCCUGUCAGCCUGACGGAUGCUGCUGUCCACACAAAGUGAUUAGAUAAUGUGGAAAAACGCAAAUUUACAAGAAAAAACAGUGAAUAUGACUUUUAGACAGUAUGAAACAUUGACUGGUUUUAAGCUACAUUUGGUUAAUGCAGGCUCAAGUUUUAGACAGUUAGAAGUUGAGGAUUUAUUUCUUCAAUUAUUAAUAUAUGACAUGACAACUUAGAAAGAAGUCAUAUGUUUUCCAAAUAAGGGAAAUGAAGCGUCAUAUAGUACAUCCACAGAGUUCCGACAUUACGUCGAAGUUCUACAAAUCAAAUGAAGAAACAGAUCAAAGAUCCACACCCUCAAAAAAAAGACAGUGUACACUUCACACCAUUAAUCAACACCCUUUUCAACAUAUAGGAUGGUCCAUUUACCUUGAAAAAGGGCCUCACAAUGCUUCAGGUAGAGUUGAAAUAUCACUACUUCUGUACAUAACUUUGUAGUGUAAAAUAAUACAUUGGCUAUUGUGAGAAGAGUUUUUAAGUAUGAAGAUGUGUAAACGUUGCUUUUCUUCAAUGACAUUCAGAAUUGCAAGUCAUCUUAAAUAAUGAAUUGUAUCAAACUCCCCAAAAGCAACUACUGAAGCAAUGAGGACAGCUUUGAUGAAGAAGGGAGAGCGCUAGUGAGUCACAAUGAAUAAGUGACGUUGGAGGGAUUGUUUGUCUGUUUGGGAGGUGGAACUCAAGACAGUUAUCUUCUACCUUUCUGUCAAACACGAUGGCAAGAGCUUUGAUUGAACAGAAGACCAAGGCAAGACUCGACAGAAAAAGAAGAGACUUUGUGAACGUGGCUGAAACAGAAGACCUUGAAAUUAGCAGUCGGGGAAUCACAACUCGGCCAGUGUUGCUGCAGGUGGGUUAACAUCGGAGGCAAUGGACCCUUCGACGAGCCCUGUCCCCCACUGCUACUCCGUCAAGCUGUCAGAGCUACAAGGGAGCAACACUGUGCCUAACUGCACCCUUCAAUAUUGGUUUACAUCCAGAAUGGAACCAAAAACUGGUUCAAAAGAUUGUGGAUAAAACCACAGUUCAGGAUGAGGCUGUCUGUCUAAACCAAAAUAAAUGCCUUUCACAGUAGACGUGACUGCGUGUUUUAGGUGUUAGUGAAUGUUUUGGGUUCGUGGAGGUUCAUUAGAAUGUGUGUAUGCUUUGGUAUGUAAACUGUUACGGCUGCCGUUGGCAACCUCAUGUGGGUAAUUAAAGAUAUGCAAAACAGGCUGUGACAUCCCCCACUCAUGAUUGGAAGAACAAGAGAAGACCCGCCCAGAAGUCCCGGCCAAUUGGAGGAUAGCCAUUGCCGGUCCCGCCAGUUCAAAUGGCGAUCAAAGCUGAGGGUGGCUGUCAGACCAGAUUGUGGAAGAGCAGGUUGGAGGGUGAGAAAGGGGCCCAGGAAUAAGAGUCAGAAAUACUGAUACCACCUGUUGCACUUAACAUAAUUUUGUUGUCUAGUCCCAUUAGGUCCAGGGGUGCUGUGAGUAUUAUACCUUCGGUUAUUAAAUAAUUAAGUUAGUGAGGACCUUUUUGUUUAACCUUUUGUUUUCUUAGAUAGACAAGGAUAAUCUUCCUUUUGAGGAUCUCUUUUGGUUGUAUUCUGUGUUUGAGUUCCACAGCACCCGUUGGCCCCAUUCUCUCUUUGUAAGAACUUUUGGAAUCUGUAAAAGUUUUGGUAUGGAUAUUUUUGGUUUAUUCAAAAAUUGUACUGUUUUUUUAUGGGAUAUGAACACUUUUCUGUGCCGUAUUUCUGCUGCAACAGCUUGCGAGCAGAGAAAAGAAGCCACUCGUCAAGAUAUAGCUCCAGCACAUAACUCCCCCCCUCCCCCCUAUGCCAAAAAAACAUGUCUUGCAUUUGGGUUAUUGUAUUAAUUAAGCAAACAAAACAGUUGCUGGAUAAGAUUUGGAGGAAAAGUGAAAAAUGUACAGUAGGAUUAAAUAAGAUCAUACUGAAAAUGUUCAGAAUGAUCUUAUACAACAGCAAAGGUUAGAGUGCAAACAGACAUAGUUAAACAAGAUCAAAACAGUUAUAAAUAAAAGUAAUAAACAAUAGCUGAAAUGAAAUGUACAGAAUUGUUCAAUAAUACAGCCAUUUAUCAUACAUACAGAAAUAAUUGAUUUGUGGUCUACUGUAGUGUAGCAGCUUGAUGGUGACUUUUCUUCACACACUGUAAUAUUAAAAUUUAGUUCUGGCAAUUAGCUCUAAAUCCUUAGAAUUGACUGGAUUCUUACAAUAAAGUGAACUGUGAAUGAAGUCCAUAUUCAGAUUAAUUUUUCACUCCGAUGCACAUCCGUAGUAUUUAGAGGUGGUGAUUUGGACACGAUAACCCUUCCUCAAUGUUUCCACUCCAGGCCAACCAGGCUGACCACAUGCUGACUUCAGCUUUGUAAGGAAUGCCUUCAAAUGAGAUUGAUAUUGACUCACUAAUGGGGGCAACCAUUUUUAAAAGUGGUCCGGUAUUGAGGGAGUACGCUACAAACGGCAGCCUCUAAAUGAGCUUGAAUGUAAUCAUAUCGGGCAAUUACACCCGUCUGCGUAUCUCCACUAGAAGUGAUCUCUAGAUUCUGCCUUUCACAUCCUCUCAAGCUUUGUUCUCAACCGUGACAACAAAUGCUCCACCUGCUGCUUCACAUUGACUUACAUGUAACAUGUGACUUUCUUACUUCAGUGGAACCUUUUGGCCACAGUGAACCCACUGGGUGUUGGAUGGCUCUGUCUCUGCCUCAGACCACUGUGACCUGGGUGCAGGUCUGGAGAGGACCUUUCUAGUUUCUUUUUCUUAUCUAGGAUGUGAUUUAAAUGUAGGCACUGCUCCUGUCUGGUGACCUCCUUUCUUACCAGUGCACGGCCAUUCUGGGUCAACAGUCCUCUCUGGCAACUGGGCUGAAACAAACUGAUCAAAUCAUCUCAAAACAAUUACAAAAUUGUAUCAUGCUGAACUGAAAAGAUCCAAUCAUAAAGAUAAUGUAAGUGAUAUUUGAACGGAAAGAAAGUGGCGGCAUAUAGAAAACUAAGGAAAACAGAAACAUUACAUGUCAUUCAGCUGACGCUGAAUGCAUUUCUAACUCGUCCCACACAGUGGGAGUAGUGUCGCAGCCGUCGGGGGCAGUUAGUGGUUGAGCAUCUUGCUCAGGGACACUUGGACAUGGGACAUGGAGCAGUCGGGGUUUGAACCAACCUUGCGGUUCACGGUGGACCCAGAAACCCCUCAGACAGAAUCUCACUUCUUACUCUACUGUGGGACAAAUGAGGACAUAAUAGAAGUUGUCCAUCUCCACGACACCCAGAAACAGCCGUAUUUAGGGGUGGAGAAAAAUCGAUGUCCAAUAUAAGUUGUGAAAUAUGUUUAGUGUAGUGAUACAUUCACAGGUGCUACAGGCGCUACAGAAAUGUCGCUGAUUGAUUACAUCUGUGAAAGAAUAAAAAGCCAAUUUGUUACCCAGUUGUUGGGUUCUUGUGUAAAAAAAUAUGUCAUUUAGCUUUGGCAAGAAAUAUAACAUCAUUGCCAACAACCCUUAUUUUAAUUUGAACUUUUACGAAUCAAUGAAAAGAUUAACAGGAAUUAUCUGUAGCGUUUGCUUCAAUGCCGAGAAAUUA
ensembl:lncRNA